rnacentral:rRNA from 1 species
GAUGAACGCUGGCGGCGUGCCUAAUACAUGCAAGUCGAGCGAAUGGAUUAAGAGCUUGCUCUUAUGAAGUUAGCGGCGGACGGGUGAGUAACACGUGGGUAACCUGCCCAUAAGACUGGGAUAACUCCGGGAAACCGGGGCUAAUACCGGAUAACGUUUUGAACCGCAUGGUUCGAAAUUGAAAGGCGGCUUCGGCUGUCACUUAUGGAUGGACCCGCGUCGCAUUAGCUAGUUGGUGAGGUAACGGCUCACCAAGGCAACGAUACGUAGCCGACCUGAGAGGGUGAUCGGCCACACUGGGACUGAGACACGGCCCAGACUCCUACGGGAGGCAGCAGUAGGGAAUCUUCCGCAAUGGGCGAAAGUCUGACGGAGCAACGCCGCGUGAGUGAUGAAGGCUUUCGGGUCGUAAAACUCUGUUGUUAGGGAAGAACAAGUGCUAGUUGAAUAAGCUGGCACCUUGACGGUACCUAACCAGAAAGCCACGGCUAACUACGUGCCAGCCGCCGCCGUAA